CUUCAUGCAGUCUCUUGUUGUUAUCUACCACUACUGGUUCAGGACUAGCGUUUGGCCUCUCGUUACUACCUAUUCGUGUCAGUUUAAGUCCAGUGCACAUCUGGUGUCCUACCAUGAUAUUUUUAGAUCCGUUCGGUUGUAAAUUAUUUAUAUUUAUUUUCUUUAAUUACUUUUUUGUGUUCCGCUGGCUUAUGGGGGU
rnacentral:lncRNA from 1 species